rnacentral:rRNA from 1 species
GACGUAGGGCGCGAGCGUUGUCCGGAUUUAUUGGGCGUAAAGAGCUCGUAGGCGGCUUGUCGCGUCGACUGUGAAAACCCCGCGGCUCAACCGCGGGCCUGCAGCCGAUACGGGCAGGCUAGAGUUCGGUAGGGGGAGACUGGAAUUCCUGGUGUAGCGGUGAAAUGCGCAGAUAUCGGGAGGAACACCGGUGGCGAAGGCGGCGACCUGGGUGGAUACUGACGCUCAUGCACGAAAAGCGUGGGGGAGCAAACAGG